UACGUAGGGUGCAAGCGUUGUCCGGAAUUAUUGGGCGUAAAGAGCUCGUAGGCGGUUUGUUACGUCGGAUGUGAAAACCCGAGGCUUAACCUCGGGCCUGCAUUCGAUACGGGCAGACUCGAGUGUGGUGGGGGAGACUGGAACUCCUGGUGUAGCGGUGAAAUGCGCAGAUAUCAGGAAGAACACCGGUGGCGAAGGCGGGUCUCUGGGCCACUACUGACGCUGAGGAGCGAAAGCGUGGGGAGCGAACAGG
rnacentral:rRNA from 1 species